UAAAGGGCCGUCGAAGACUACGACGUUGAUAGGUUGGGUGUGUAAGCGCUGUGAGGCGUUGAGCUAACCAAUACUAAUUGCCCGUGAGGCUUGACCAUAUAACACCCAAGCAAUU
rnacentral:rRNA from 1 species